rnacentral:rRNA from 1 species
UACGUAGGGUGCGAGCGUUAAUCGGAAUUACUGGGCGUAAAGCGUGCGCAGGCGGUUUUGUAAGCCAGAUGUGAAAUCCCCGGGCUUAACCUGGGAAUGGCAUUUGGGACUGCAAGGCUUGAGUGCGGCAGAGGAGACUGGAAUUCCUGGUGUAGCAGUGAAAUGCGUAGAUAUCAGGAGGAACACCGAUGGCGAAGGCAGGUCUCUGGGCUGACACUGACGCUCAUGCACGAAAGCGUGGGGAG